UAUUGAUCUGAAUGUAAAUCAUAAAUUGCAACGUAAUCACAAAAAACGCGUUGAUUAACGAUGAGUGUUAAUAAAAGAGGACCGUAUAAACAGUACAUAUACGAAGAACAUAACCCCGAAAUACAGCAUCAACGACACAUUCUCGAAAAAAAAGACAUGAUCAUAGUCAAGAAAAUCUUGGUUCGGUUGAGAACAUAAAAUGUUCAAAGUUGAGCCGAAUAGAGGAGAUAAAUGUAGCUGGAAGUAGCAAUAAAGUCGCAAUUAUACCUAUAGUUUCAUCUGAGAAAGAUUCUGGUUCCGAGGGUCUCCAAAGCAGCGAUGGAGAAGUAGAUGACAUUUCAUCGUGCUUAAAUCAUGAUGAAGGAGAUGAUAGUUUAUUAUGUACAGAUAACUCAUCAGAGUAUGAAAUUGAUUUGGCCUCUGACAUGGACGAAUAUGAGGAAAUCCCUAUUGCUGAUGAAGAUCACAAUAAUGUUAUUGAUAAUGCCAAAAAUCAUAAUCAAGAUCCACACAUGGAGCAGUUUCGCUAAGUACUGUACGAAGGAUGCAAUCUUUCAAAAGAAGAAAGCAAAAUGCUGCUUGUGAGUUUGGCUCUUCGUCAUCAACUGACCGAUGUUGCGUUGGAAUCUCUUGUUCAAGUAAUUGAUUGUCAUCUUCCUCGUACACAUCAUGGCUCCAAAUAUUUAUUAUUAAAGUCAUUACCAGAAAGUAAAGCGUGUAAAUACUAUUACUGUCCGGAAUGUUAUACGAUACUGAAUUCAUGUAUCGAUAAUCGAAUGAAAUGUGAAGUCUGUACAACAAUUUACAAAAAAAAGUAUCUCGAUAAAAAAAACAAGUAUUUUAUACAUAUUCCACUCAAAGAGCAAUUAAUAGAAUUAGUAAAAUCCGAAGAUUUUGCACAAUUCCGAAAAACUAAAGAAAUGGAAAGUGACAUCAUUAAUGGAAAUGUUUACCGUAAUUUAAGAAGUAAAAAUAUCAUUGGAGAUAAUUACAUUACCCUUCAGUGGAAUUCAGAUGGGGUACAAUUAUUUAAGUCUUCCAUGUCAUCCAUUUGGCCGAUUUUAGUUACAAUAAACGAAUUGCCUUAUCGUUUGCGAAGGCAACACAUUCUCUUAGCUGGCAUAUGGUUUGACGCUGUAAAACCAAAUAUGAAUAUUUUUUUU